AACAAGGAUUCCCCUAGUAACGGCGAGUGAAGCGGGAAGAGCUCAAAUUUAAAAUCUGGCGGUGUAUUCCGUCCGAGUUGUAGUCUAGAGAAGCAUCAUCCGCGCCGGACCAUGUACAAGUCUCUUGGAACAGAGCGUCAUAGAGGGUGAGAAUCCCGUCCUUGACAUGGACUCCCGGUGCUUUGUGUUGAGCUCUCAACGAGUCGAGUUGUUUGGGAAUGCAGCUCAAAACGGGUGGUAAAUUCCAUCUAAAGCUAAAUAUUGGCGAGAGACCGAUAGCGAACAAGUACCGUGAGGGAAAGAUGAAAAGCACUUUGGAGAGAGAGUUAAACAGUACGUGAAAUUGUUAAAAGGGAAAC
rnacentral:rRNA from 1 species